UACGUAGGGGUGCGAGCGUUUGUCCGGAAUUAUUGGGCGUAAAGGGCUCGUAGGCGGUUUGUCGCGUCGGGAGUGAAAACUCAGGGCUUAACCCUGAGCCUGCUUCCGAUACGGGCAGACUAGAGGUAUGCAGGGGAGAACGGAAUUCCUGGUGUAGCGGUGAAAUGCGCAGAUAUCAGGAGGAACACCGGUGGCGAAGGCGGUUCUCUGGGCAUUACCUGACGCUGAGGAGCGAAAGUGUGGGGAGCGAACAGG
rnacentral:rRNA from 1 species